rnacentral:lncRNA from 1 species
AAAAGAGAGAAAGUAUAGAGAGGUAACUAAGUGGGAGAAGUUUAUAUCUCCGGCGAAAUUCUCGUUGGCUUCCGAAAGAUCAUUUUCUCGGUGUAUCUAUUNAGGUUACUAUAUUAAUUUAGAUUGAUUGAUAGUAAAUAUUUAAUCUCAAUAUUCGGACUUAAAAAUUCAGUUUAUUACUUGUACAAUUCGUACACUUAAGAAAUUAUGUAACCAUUUUUUGACGUUGUUGUCGAGGAUUAAAAGUCCAAAUAUUUUACAGAAACUAAAUAUUUAUUAUCAAUUUUUAUUCUAUUCUAACUUCCACCUAAAAUGACGUAGUAGCUUAUGAUCAAUCAAGAGUUUAUUUUAUAACUAAUUUAUACUAAACUGAUACUUAUUUACCCAAGUCUAACUAAUUGAUGGUGAACUUUUGAGAUUAAAUGGUUAGGAACUUCAAUUUUCACUUAGGCUAUUUAAUUUUCAUUCACUCUAACAACAUUUUAGCCACUUUUUCAUAUGUAAUAAUCAAUUAAAUUAAUUAUAUUUAUUUAAUAAUCUCUCUCGAGCAAAACUUGCCCCAUUAACGUUCCCGAAUUUACUAUAUAUCUUUAUGUAAAUUCAUACACAAGUAAAGGCAUUCAAUUGUAGUAAUUCAAUCAUAAUUGCAUAUGCUGUAAUCAUCUUUCGAUUUCUUAUAAAACAUGCCACUUAUUGCAAGAACUAGACAAAUAAACAUUCUCUUGAUCUCAAUAUUGUCUUUAAACCAAGUAAUUGGUGAUCAAGCAAUUAAAUAUUAAUUAAACAUAUAAUAGCAAUUAACACAUAAUGAAAAUUGCAAUAAAUUAAUUGAUUUAAACAAACAUUAGCCCAAGCUACGUACAUCGUUCAUAUUAGCAAUCAAUUAUUUAUCCACUCAUAAUUAUGAAAUUAAAAAAUUAAAAGGAUUAAAAACAUCACCAGGUUCAAUACAAGAAAUUAAAUAAAUCAAGAAAAUCCUAACAAUUAUUGUUCUUUGGCACUCAAUUCCCAACAAAUACAAUAAAUCAUUAAUCUCCUCAUCUAAGCAUAUAUGUUUUUGGUCAACUUGUGUUUCUCAACGUUCAAAUAAAAAAAAAAUUUGACGUACGAUUAGAAUUUAAUGUAUUUGAAUGUGUAAUUUUACCACAAAAUUGUAUCUUUAGCCUCCCUUUUUGUUUGAAUGGAGAAAUUUUAUUUAUAGACUUCAAUUUAGGUCUAAAAUAAAAUCUCAAGAUGAUAGGGAAUCAUAAUUUUAGUCAAAUUAGGAUAUCCAAAUUGUUGGAAUUUAUACUCUCCUUUGUGCGACUUGGUCACUGUUUCCUAAUUUUGUUAGGAUUGAGUUCUUAGAUAUUGCAAUUAAGUCCUUCAACAUUUAAACAUGACUCUUUGAUCCUCAAAUUUCAGAAUAUGUCAAACUUUAAUCCUUUUUUUUUUUUUUUUUCUAAUCAACUAUCAUUCAUUUUCAUGCGUUCUCGUCCAAUAUUGGGUUCUCUCCUAAACUAAUCAAUGAACAGGUAUAAUUAAGUAUCAAGGUCAUAAUAAUAACUCUUAAUGGCUACUUUUGAUUGUCAAGAUAAGUGUAAUAUUUAAACUUAUCAAAUAUUUACCAUCCAUUUUAUGGAUUGUGACAAGAAAAGUCAUAAAUGCAAGGAAUGCAAACUAGGACUGGCUGAAAGUGUAGGCCUAUAAAGGUUGAACCCCAACCUUGAAGGCCCCCACUACCCCGCCUCUAGAGUUUUGUGAGGGAGGUAAAUCGUAGAAUGUGCCCCCAACAGGUCAGGGAAUAAGAGAUGUCUGUACAUUGCGCCUACAAGGAAUCAAAUUUCAUGUCUCAGGAAUCGAACCACCACACUGCGGCAGCCAGCAAGGUGUGAGAUAACCUCACUCCUGUCCUUUACACCACUGGACUAUGCCCUGGGGGGCGUGUAGGCCUAUAGCUUACACGUUUUAAGGACAAUCAUAACGGGUUUGUAAAACCAUCCAAGUAAGAGUGAUACAAGUUAGCAUGUGCUAAGUGAAACAAGGGUUUGUAAAGACAAUUUGUACUUAGAGAGAUUUUGAUACAAAAGUGUGAGGUGGAUCAUUCCAUUCACAUGUCACAAGUUAAUUGGUCUAGAGAGAUUGAAGGAGAUUGUGCUAGUUUAGAUGUAUUUUGGACCAUAGAUUAAAUCCAAUGGUUGGAUUUAAAUCUUGUGGUCAAUUUCCUUUCUAGUCAUGUCACAUUCAUUCUUAAUCAUAGUACAAUAUUUGAAUUUGAAUUCAAAUGUUUUUGGCUAUAUAAUUACAAAACUCCUUCACUUAUUUUCAUUUAGACUUGGCAUAAUAAAAGAGAGAAAGUAUAGAGAGAUAACCAAGUGGGAGAAGUUCAUAACUUCGACAAAAUUCUUGAUGUCUUCCAGCGGAUCCUUUUAUCGGUAUAUCCAUUAUCAUUCCCAUGGACGAUGGUGUAUGAUCCGGUGUGGUACAAAUUUGAGAUCAACAUCAUAUGACACUCCAUUGGUGGUGUUGAAGAAGUUUUGAGUCGAUUGAUUUGAUUUUUUACACUUUGAGAGUUCAUGUUUCCGCAUUAUAGUUGUAAUAAUAAUUUAUACACUACAUUUUAAACUCUACAAAGAGUUGAUAUCUUCCCUCUAAGUCUAACUGUUGAGUAUCGUGGCAUGGCAUGGGUGCUUUCGUGCUGGUGAGAAAAAAAUGACUAAAUAGUCCUGGUAACUUCCUAAGAGUUCAAAGCAUGAUCGAGAG